GACGAACGCUGGCGGCGUGCUUAACACAUGCAAGUCGAACGGAAAGGCCCUGCUUUUGUGGGGUGCUCGAGUGGCGAACGGGUGAGUAACACGUGAGUAACCUGCCCUUGACUUUGGUAUAACUUCAGGAAACUGGGGCUAAUACCGGAUAGGAGCUCCUGCUGCAUGGUGGGGGUUGGAAAGUUUCGGCGGUUGGGGAUGGACUCGCGGCUUAUCAGCUUGUUGGUGGGGUAGUGGCUUACCAAGGCUUUGACGGGUAGCCGGCCUGAGAGGGUGACCGGCCACAUUGGGACUGAGAUACGGCCCAGACUCCUACGGGAGGCAGCAGUGGGGAAUAUUGCACAAUGGGCGGAAGCCUGAUGCAGCAACGCCGCGUGCGGGAUGACGGCCGUCGGGUUGUAAACCGCUUUCGCCUGUGACGAAGCGUGAGUGGCGGUAAUGGGUAAAGAAGCACCGGCUAACUACGUG
rnacentral:rRNA from 1 species